AAGAUAAUGUUGUCAAAGGCUGUUUGAUAGUCUGUAGGUGCAUAUCCAAUGCGACAAGUAAGAAACCUAGACACAGGGGCAUUUCGUCAACAUUAACAGCCGAUUGAACAAAAAGGAAGAGUGUCUGAAAAGGCUCCUGGUAAAAACUUGCUCGAGAUUUCGGAACUCAUUAGUCCAAAACGAAUGGAGCGUCUAACGAU
rnacentral:lncRNA from 1 species